rnacentral:rRNA from 1 species
GAUUGAACUGAAGAGUUUGAUCCUGGCUCAGAUUGAACGCUGGCGGCAUGCUUUACACAUGCAAGUCGAACGGUAACGCGGACUUCGGUCUGGCGACGAGUGGCGAACGGGUGAGUAAUGCAUCGGAACGU